CCUACGGGUGGCAGCAGUGGGGGAUAUUGCACAAUGGGGGAAACCCUGAUGCAGCGACGCCGCGUGAGUGAAGAAGUAUUUCGGUAUGUAAAGCUCUAUCAGCAGGGAAGAAAAUGACAGUACCUGACCAAGAAGCCCCGGCUAACUACGUGCCAGCAGCCGCGGUAAUACGUAGGGGGCAAGCGUUAUCCGGAUUUAUUGGGUUUAAAGGGUGCGUAGGCGGUCUGUUAAGUCAGCGGUAAAAUUGCGGGGCUCAACCCCGUCGAGCCGUUGAAACUGGCAGACUUGAGUUGGCGAGAAGUACGCGGAAUGCGCGGUGUAGCGGUGAAAUGCAUAGAUAUCACGAGGAACCCCGAUUGCGAAGGCAACAUACCGGCGCUCAACUGACGCUCAUGCACGAAAGUGUGGGUAUCGAACAGGAUUAGAUACCCUUGUAGUC
rnacentral:rRNA from 1 species